rnacentral:rRNA from 1 species
AGAGUUUGAUCCUGGCUCAGAUUGAACGCUGGCGGUAUGCUUAACACAUGCAAGUCGAACGGUAACAGGCCUUCGGGCGCUGACGAGUGGCGGACGGGUGAGUAACGCGUAGGAAUCUGGCUCAUAGUGGGGGACAACGUGGGGAAACUCACGCUAAUACCGCAUACGCCCUACGGGGAAAGCGGGGGAUCUUCGGACCUCGCGCUAUGAGAUGAGCCUGCGUUAGAUUAGCUAGUUGGUAGGGUAAAGGCCUACCAAGGCGACGAUCUAUAGCUGGUCUGAGAGGACGAUCAGCCACACUGGGACUGAGACACGGCCCAGACUCCUACGGGAGGCAGCAGUGGGGAAUAUUGGACAAUGGGCGCAAGCCUGAUCCAGCAAUACCGCGUGUGUGAAGAAGGCCUUAGGGUUGUAAAGCACUUUCAAUUGGGAGGAAAACCUGCCGGUCAAUACCCGGUAGCUUGACAUUACCUUUAGAAGAAGCACCGGCUAACUCCGUG